rnacentral:rRNA from 1 species
AGCGUAGGCGGAUUUUUAAGUGGGAUGUGAAAUACCCGGGCUUAACCUGGGUGCUGCAUUCCAAACUGGAAGUCUAGAGUGCAGGAGAGGAAAGUGGAAUUCCUAGUGUAGCGGUGAAAUGCGUAGAGAUUAGGAAGAACACCAGUGGCGAAGGCGACUUUCUGGACUGUAACUGACGCUGAGGCUCGAAAGCGUGGGGAGCGAACA